CUAUAUAGUUCAAUGUGCACGUUUUGUGCACAUAGAGGCGCUGAUGGAUGAAAACACAGCCAAUACAGGGACAGAACUAGCCGCCGGUUUAAUCAUCUGAUUAACCUAAAAAAAAUCGGCCAAUUAAAUUUACAAAUAUUCCCGCUAACCGCAGAACUUAAAACCGCUGAUCUUAUCAUUUAUUCGCUUUUCUUUGUACAUUUCUUGUAAAUUAUAAUUCAUAUUUGUGUAAAAUAUAAAACUUUAUCUAAACAAAAUCUAAUUAAUGAAAAAGAGACCAAUUCUUGUCAAGACUUCACACUUUAACGUUCCACCAUAGAUUUAUCGGAAUGUAUUGAAAUGAAUAGAUUAAAUCAAUUGAUAAUUAUUGGAUAUUUUUACUUAAAAUUUCUACCUAUAACAAGUGAUAACUUCUUACAAUCGAGGAAAAAUUACAUUAUCUGUGAAUAUUCCACACAAGCGCUAGGCCAAGGAAAAAAGAACAAGGUGUCCGCAUUGUAUACAAAAUUUUUAUUUAUUUAACGAUAUUUUACGGCAUAUAUUUACGGGAUUAUACUUUCCAUUAGGUACAAUUUGAAAAGCUUGCAUCCUUCUUUUUUCUCCUCUUUGUUUCACUUGAAACGUAUACUAAUGAUUUGCGGCAUAUGCGAGUCUUAACAGAAACCAUGAUGUAACCAUCUUUUUUUAUUUAUAAAAUAUAAACUAAGAUUCUCUAAUAUUCCCUAAGGCCCGCUUUCAUAAUAUAAUUUUUGGGGGGAGAGGAGGAGUUUAAU